rnacentral:rRNA from 1 species
UGAGGAAUAUUGCGCAAUGGGCGAAAGCCUGACGCAGCGACGCCACGUGAGCGAUGAAGUCUUUAGGGAUGUAAAGCUCUGUCAAGAGGAACGAUUAUGACGGUACCUCUAAAGGAAGCCCCGGCUAACUACGUGCCAGCAGCCGCGGUAAUACGUAGGGGGCAAGCGUUAUCCGGAAUCAUUGGGCAUAAAGAGCGCGUAGGCGGUAGUUUAAGUCAGAUGUUAAAUACUUCAGCUCAACUGAAGCACGCAUUUGAAACUGAAUUACUAGAGUUUAGUAGAGGAAAGCGGAACUCACGGUGUAGCGGUGAAAUGCGUAGAUAUCGUGAGGAACACCAGUUGCGAAGGCGGCUUUCUGGACUAAUACUGACGCUGAGGUGCGAAAGCGUGGGGAGCGAACGGG